rnacentral:rRNA from 1 species
GCAUAUUUUUUCAAAAAUACAAAGAAAUGUGUGACACCUGCCCGGUGGACUUUUAUUUGGGGGGUUUAAAAUCUCUGUAAAUAAGUCUAAACGGCAGCUUUAAUCGGUUUUAAUGUAGGAUAAUAAUUUGGUCUUUAAAUGGGGCACUCUCGUGAAUGGUAAUACAAAUUGGACACUGUCUUGGACGGAAGGUAAUUGAAAUUGGAAUAAUAGUGAAGAUACUAUUUAAAAUUGUAAGACGGAAAGACCCUAUGGAACUUUACUACAACUUUUAUUUAUUCUUUUUCCCUUGUCUAAAAAAAGGUAGAAAUAAAAAAGAAAUUAUGAAAGGUAGGUAGUUUAGUUGGGGCAACUACCUUAUAUUAUAAACUAAGGUUAAGCAAGCUAAUAAGAUUAUUUACUGUAUAAACUACUAUUUUAACAGUUAUAAAAGUAGGCAUAAUGACCCGUUUUUAAAAUAUAAAAAUUUAUAAAAACGAUAAUUGGAUAAAAGUUACCCUAGGGAUAACAGGGCGAUUUCAGGCGACUUGUCGGGAACCUGACGUUUGCCAC